rfam:Brassica rapa chromosome A8, whole genome shotgun sequence.
GGUUGAGUUACAGGGCAAAUACUCCAUUGGCAGAUAGUUUUCACUACAUCUAUAUUAUCUAAAUAUUAAUAAUAGUUGAUAUGUAUGAAAAAAAUGCUUUACUGCCAAAGGAGAUUUGCCCCGCAAUUCAUCC